AUUGAACGCUGGCGGCAGGCCUAACACAUGCAAGUCGAACGGUAGCACAGAGAGCUUGCUCUCGGGUGACGAGUGGCGGACGGGCGAGUAAUGUCUGGGAAACUGCCCGAUGGAGGGGGAUAACUACUGGAAACGGUAGCUAAUACCGCAUAACGUCGCAAGACCAAAGUGGGGGACCUUCGGGCCUCACACCAUCGGAUGUGCCCAGAUGGGAUUAGCUAGUAGGUGGGGUAAUGGCUCACCUAGGCGACGAUCCCUAGCUGGUCUGAGAGGAUGACCAGCCACACUGGAACUGAGACGCGGUCCAGACUCCUACGGGAGGCAGCAGUGGGGAAUAUUGCACAAUGGGCGCAAGCCUGAUGCAGCCAUGCCGCGUGUAUGAAGAAGGCCUUCGGGUUGUAAAGUACUUUCAGCGGGGAGGAAGGCGGUGAAGUUAAUAACUUCACCGAUUGACGUUACCCGCAGAAGAAGCACCGGCUAACUCCGUGCCAGCAGCCGCCGCAG
rnacentral:rRNA from 1 species